CCUACGGGAGGCAGCAGUGGGGAAUAUUGCGCAAUGGGCGAAAGCCUGACGCAGCGACGCCGCGUGAGGGAUGAAGGUCUUCGGAUCGUAAACCUCUGUUAGUAGGGAAGAACGGUCAUUGUGCUAAUUAGCAGUGAAUCGACGGUACCUGCACAGGAAGCACCGGCUAACUACGUGCCAGCAGCCGCGGUAAUACGGAGGGUGCGAGCGUUAACCGGCAUUAUUGGGCGUAAAGCGCUCGUAGGCGGUAUGUCAAGUCAAGGGUGAAAUCCCCGCGCUCAACGUGGGAACUGCAUUUGAAACUGGCAAACUUGAGUGUAUAAGAGGAUAGUGGAAUUCCAGGUGUAGGGGUGAAAUCCGUAGAUAUAUGGAGGAACAUCAGUGGCGAAGGCGACUAUCUGGCACGUAACUGACGCUGAGGGGCGAAAGCGUGGGUAGCAAACAGGAUUAGAUACCCUGGUAGUC
rnacentral:rRNA from 1 species